rnacentral:rRNA from 1 species
AUUACAAGUGACCCCGGUCUAACCACCGGGAUGUUCAUAACCCUUUGUUGUCCGACUCUGUUGCCUCCGGGGCGACCCUGCCUUCGGGCGGGGGCUCCGGGUGGACACUUCAAACUCUUGCGUAACUUUGCAGUCUGAGUAAACUUAAUUAAUAAAUUAAAACUUUUAACAACGGAUCUCUUGGUUCUGGCAUCGAUGAAGAACGCAGCGAAAUGCGAUAAGUAAUGUGAAUUGCAGAAUUCAGUGAAUCAUCGAAUCUUUGAACGCACAUUGCGCCCCCUGGUAUUCCGGGGGGCAUGCCUGUUCGAGCGUCAUUUCACCACUCAAGCCUCGCUUGGUAUUGGGCAACGCGGUCCGCCGCGUGCCUCAAAUCGACCGGCUGGGUCUUCUGUCCCCUAAGCGUUGUGGAAACUAUUCGCUAAAGGGUGUUCGGGAGGCUACGCCGUAAAACAACCCCAUUUCUAAGGUUGACCUCGGAUCAGGUAGGGAUACCCGCUGAACUUAAGCAUAUCAAUAAGCGGAGGAAAAGAAACCAACAGGGAUUGCUCUAGUAACGGCGAGUGAAGCAGCAAUAGCUCAAAUUUGAAAUCUGGCGUCUUCGACGUCCGAGUUGUAAUUUGUAGAGGAUGCUUCUGAGUAACCACCGACCUAAGUUCCUUGGAACAGGACGUCAUAGAGGGUGAGAAUCCCGUAUGCGGUCGGAAAGGUGCUCUAUACGUAGCUCCUUCGACGAGUCGAGUUGUUUGGGAAUGCAGCUCUAAAUGGGAGGUAAAUUUCUUCUAAAGCUAAAUAUUGGCCAGAGACCGAUAGCGCACAAGUAGAGUGAUCGAAAGAUGAAAAGCACUUUGGAAAGAGAGUUAAAAAGCACGUGAAAUUGUUAAAAGGGAAGGGAUUGCAACCAGACUUGCUCGCGGUGUUCCGCCGGUCUUCUGACCGGUCUACUCGCCGCGUUGCAGGCCAGCAUCGUCUGGUGCCGCUGGAUAAGACUUGAGGAAUGUAGCUCCCUCGGGAGUGUUAUAGCCUCUUGUGAUGCAGCGAGC